CUUAUCAACAACCCAUCUUUUAUUUCCUCUCAAAUUCGUUAACUUUUGUGAUGAUAAUGCUGUGCUUAUAAUCCCCCCUUUUAUCUCUCACCAAAAUUACUGCUCUUUAAUCUCUGCUGAUACUUCUCGAGUUAUCGAAAAAUUCGACAUUCCCUUUGUUACCAAGAGUGGCAGUUUGAAGCUGAUUGCGCAAGUAGAUGGGAUGCUUUUGUUAACUGAUUUGCAUAUUGAUUAUGCUUCUAGGGAGUUGUAUUUGUGGAACUCUUUUGUUAGGAGACACAGGGUUCUUGUUUCGAGUUGUUUUAAGAGGCUUUUGGAUGAUAGGGAUAAGAGUUAUUAUGUGGUCGGGAUGGGGUAUGACAAGGGUACGGAUGAUUAUAAGGUUAUUAGGAUUGUUUAUGUCCAGGAUGGAAAGGGGAAGCAGUUUGGACAGGUGGCUCCGAAGGUUGAGAUUUAUAGUUUGAGGAAGAACACGUGGAAGAAGAUGGGGAAUUCUCGGGUUCCGAGGCUUGUUAAUGAAAUGGGGGCUUAUGUUGAUGGUAGGUACUACUGGGUAGAGAUGAAACAACCUGGAACUGAGGAGUUUAAUAGUUUGAAGGGGAAUGAGUUGAAGAUAAUGUCAUGAUUUUGAUACGAGGGAGGCAAAUCACUGUUGAAAUAUGCAAAGUGAGGAAUUGUCAGUCUACUGCUGGAAGAGCGUCUAUUUUAGGAAUACGAGCAUCUGGAGCAGGAACACCAGCUCUGUUUCUAUUAGAACGAUCCUGCACGCAACGACACAACUCAAUCCUCUCUUCUCUAGUCUUGGCCGUAUCACGGAAUGCUUUUAAAGAGUUGCAACACUCAGCAGAUGGAUCCUGCUGUUCGCCCCUGUGAAAUGGAUCACAAAGUUGCUUUGUACGUUCUUGUAAUGUUGUUCCGCAGGUAAAAGCCUCCCCUUGCUCCACCAUCAGAAAAGCCGCCAAAAAUGUGGCAAAAACCAUCGUCAAGUACACAAUCUUCGCCAUUAUUUUCUCAGGUAUCUGUAGACUUCUUGGAAUGUGCUAUGUAGACAAAUUGUGCAGAAACAGAUUAUGCAGGGAGACGCAUUUAUAGGCAAGUCGGAGAAGCACUAGAACAAAAUUAACAAAUCUAACUAACAGUUAGGACACCUGGUCUGGUAAGUUCACAGAAAUGCCUAGGAACAAUUUGAUGCUUGCAUCUCUAUUAAUAUGUUUAAUUGUGUGGUUACAUGUUAGGCUUCAUCUGAAAAACUACAAAUUUUAAUCUGGUAUGUAAAUUAGUUGCCUAA